UACAGAGACUGCAAGCGUUAUUCGGAUUCACUGGGCGUAAAGGGUGCGCAGGCGGCCAAGUGUGUCAGGUGUGAAAUCCCGAGGCUUAACCUCGGAACUGCGCCUGAAACUACUUGGCUAGAGUACUGGAGAGGGUAACGGAAUUCACGGUGUAGCAGUGAAAUGCGUAGAGAUGCGGAGGAACACCGAUGGCGAAGGCAGCCCCCUGGGCUAGCACUGACGCUCAGGCACGAAAGCGUGGGGAGCAAACAGG
rnacentral:rRNA from 1 species